UGAGCAGAUGAGCAAACCCUAGUGCACCCCUCAUUCUCCCAACUCUCACUGCGCCGCCUCUCCUAAUCUCAGCCCUCAACCUCUCCGAAUCUCCCUUCUCGCAACACUCCGCCACUCGUUGGCGUCUCUCCACCACUCGCCGGUCUCCCUCUCUCCGCCCAGAAGCUCCAACGCCACCAUUGUUGUUUCUCCGCCACUCUCCGUCCUCUCUAUCUCGCUCUUUACGAGUUUGCCAGUGGCCCACGAUAGCUCGUGAUGUAUUGGCCAUCCCUAUUUCCACCGUUGCCUCUGAGUCCACCUUUAGCAACGGAGGACGUGUAUUGGAUACCUUUAGUAGUUCAUUGUCUCCUCUUACCGUUGAGGCCUUGAUUUGCACAGAAGACUGGUUAAAGAACCGCUCAAUGAUCUAUGAGGAAGUAUUUCAAGACUUUAUGGAAAGCUAUGAUGAACUUGAUGGGCCUCAGAAUCAACAUUCAAAUUCAAGGACGACUGAAACAUCUUUUUUCUAGAAGAAUGUUAUCAUUUUUUGACUUGUCAUUAUAUUUAUAUUACAAUAUAAUUGUUUAGUUUGUCAAUUUGUUAAGUUUAUAAUAUUUAUUGUUGUUAUCUUCACAUGAUUUUGCUAGAAGACCUCAAGACCAAAUGGGAGUCAUGUUGUUGUUUCCACAAGAAUUUUUUUAUGUUGAGUGUGGGUGUGUGGACUAUGUAUAUGGUUUGAACUUUGAUUUUUUAAUAUGGUUUGAUGAUUGAUUGGUGUGGGUGUGUGGACUAUUUGAAUAUGGUUUGAUUUUUUGAUGUUGUGAAUCAAACCAUGUUGCAUUGUUGUGAGUGUGGGUGUGUGGACUUGUGGACUAUGGACUAUGGACUAUUCAAAUAUAGUUUGAUUUUUUGAUGUUGUGAAUGUAGGGGUGUGUUGAUA